CCUACGGGUGGCAGCAGUGAGGAAUAUUGGUCAAUGGGCGGGAGCCUGAACCAGCCAUGCCGCGUGAAGGCGAGUGCCCUACGGGCGUUAAACUUCUUUUGUGCGGGAGCAAUAAGGGCCACGCGUGGCCCGAUGAGAGUACCGCACGAAUAAGCAUCGGCUAACUCCGUGCCAGCAGCCGCGGUAAUACGGGGGAUGCGAGCGUUAUCCGGAUUUAUUGGGUUUAAAGGGAGCGUAGGUGGAUUGUUAAGUCAGUUGUGAAAGUUUGCGGCUCAACCGUAAAAUUGCAGUUGAAACUGGCAGUCUUGAGUACAGUAGAGGUGGGCGGAAUUCGUGGUGUAGCGGUGAAAUGCUUAGAUAUCACGAAGAACUCCGAUUGCGAAGGCAGCUCACUGGACUGCAACUGACACUGAGGCUCGAAAGUGUGGGUAUCAAACAGGAUUAGAUACCCUGGUAGUC
rnacentral:rRNA from 1 species